GUAAGUGGGUAUCUACAAAUAAAUAGUGGAAUCUCCAAACUAUCGGAUUUAUACGAAUUGAUUUCUAAUUAAUUUACAGAUCUCUCAAGUCCUUAGAAAUGAAAGGAUAUUCAAGCUACAAACAGAUGUAUUACCUUCUUAACAUUCGUUGUUCUUUGAAGACACUGGUCUUAGAUAGGGUUAAAUUUGAUGAUAUUGGCCAUCGUGUUGACGAACUACCAACAAUUCUAUACAGCGUCCUAAAAACGUUUUCACCCACUUUGGAAAAACUUUCUAUAGAUCUGCGUUGGUGGAUAGGGGGUAAACAAUUAGAAUGGAAAUUCCCAGUGUUUCCGGUUAUGAAAAGGUUGAGGGUCGUAAAUAAUGGUGUGCUCGAAAAAAUUGCAUUUGAAAAUCCCUGUUCAGACGUUUUUGGAAGGAUUGAUUAUAAAGUGUGUUUUCCUGUCUUGGAAAGUUUACAUGUUUGCAUUGAAGCAAUUAAUUUGUCACCGUUGGAUGCAUUUCUUCCGAUGGAAAAUAACGGAUGUUCCAUGGUUGUGGAUUGGGUGAAAGAAAUUGACAUAAGGCGGAUCAGGCUUUUCGUUCGGGCUGUUCCACGAUAGAUAUGACAACCCUUGAGGCGAGAGUGUUGAACAUUUUUCCCAAUGCGAGACGAACGAUAAAUAUUUCGUAAUUGUUACUGAUUAAUCAUGGCGAAAACCUUGAUCAUGUCUUAAUGUUAAUGGACGACUUGGAGAUUAUUGGAUAAUUAAGAAUAAUAAUUAUUAUUCUGCACAUCUUUAAAAUCCUUGUGUAUCCAUUGAAACGUAAAGUGGCUGGAAUAGAGUUCUUGUAAUAUGUUGUUAUAUAGGAGUCAGAAUUUAGUAAAUGUUUUAGGAAAAAAAUUCGUGAUGCGAGUCCAGGGGGACACGGGGACACUGCACCAGUUUUCAGAUGUCCCCCUAAUCUGCCCAUGUUUUAUUAACCCAACCUUCUCCUAUCUCACGAUGUUAAAGUCCCCCCAUGACCCCUCCCCACCUCCGCCGCUUCUGUAAUUAGUAUAAUCUUUUUAAUUUUCAUCCGUAAAUUGUACGUCCCCAUACUAUGCGAUAUAAAGUUAUGUAUGCAUUUAGUGUAAACCAUGCAGUACUGUUGUUAACGGUAAUGAACAUAAGUGUUAAAUUUAGUACUACAACCAAUAAAUAACGGCGUAAUAUUUUUAAAAUUCGAUGAUAAAUGACUAUGGAAAAUUUCCAUAGUCAUGAUUUCCAUUGGAAAUCAUAAGAAAUCAUGGGAUUGUGAGGAACGCGAGGAACUUUCUCUUUUGGUAAAGGAGACAAAGCAAAGGGCCCUUUUGGGAUCCGACAUUUCACCAUUUGCAUCUGUUUAUUUCGCUUGUCCUUCAAUAGAGGCGAGAAAAGUUUGUGAACAUAUAAAUUUCCCAGUAAACCGAAAGUUUUUACUUUUUUGAUUUACAAAGCCUUAGUUAUCGCCGUAAAGAAAGUGAUCAUGUACAGCGAGAAGGAACAAAAAGAUGUCCUGUAUUAUAAAAUAAAUGGAGCAAAAAGUGCAAAAACAUUUUGAACUCGUAAAGAAUCGAACCCGUGAACACUAUCGUCACAACCCGGCGCUCUAACCACUAUACCCCCACCUCCUUGCAUAGUAAAUAUUGUAAAGAACUCGUAUUUAUUUUUCAUUCGAUAGAAAUAAAAAGUUUUAAAUUGUCUCUCAGUCAUUCAUUUGACCUCUAAUCAAAAAAAUUGCAAUUUAAAACAGAUUCACCUUAACCUGGAGAAAUUUUAAAACUCCUAUGUUAUUUGUUCAAGUUUAAUUUUACCCCCUUCAAACCGCGAUUUUUAACGUUUAGCCGUGAGAAUUGUGAGACCUUUUGCGUGGUCACCCUAAAAGCAUACUGUUGGCUUCGCCGGGCCCCACCUGAGCAUAUGCAUGCUUUGGUUCUGUGAGGGGCCCGCUUUAUGGGGCCCCUCCGGGCCCCGCCUCACCUCAGAAUAAAACCAGCAUCUCCAACUCCGGACCUGUUCUUAUUACAGAUGUUAUUAGUCCUCUCUGUAAAUUUCUUCACAUCACGGACAUCAAGGAGUGUCGGCUAGUCUGCCAAUCUUGGAAUUAUGGAGCUACCCCUGUCCUUAAGUCUAGAACGAGGACAAGCUUUGAAUUAUGUCCCGAACCAGAUAUUUUAGAUCUCGUAGAAAAAUCAAACUUCUCUCCUGUCAACGUUUAUCUCAAGAAAGAACCCGGACUUAGUCCGGGUUCUUUCUAGAUCCAGAGUAAAUAGUCCGGCGGACUAUUUACUCUGGAUCUAGAAAUGCUGCCUCACAUCGGGAAUCUUAAAUCAAUUCAUCUCGAUUACUCUGUUCGUUAUGGACAAUAUGAUAGUUCGCUGGAAUUCUGUAAGAAAAUUAUCCUGGCGUAGUCCCACAAUCUGGAAGAGUUAGAGUUGAAGUGGGGUUAUGGCUUCCCUCCUUUACAAGGUACCAUCUUCCCAAAAUUUAAAAAACUCGUGACACGUCGUAUCUGGGAUAGUGUCUUUUACCACGUGCCCAUCACUGAUCUUGGUCAGGCAAUUGCGGAGUCGUUCCCAAAUUUGGAAUCUUUUGAGGCAGAAUGCAAAACUUUGUGCAACUUGUGAAAGUUACAAAUGAUAGAAAAAUUUCCCAGAUCACUGAAUUCUUUAACCAUUGUGGAAUCUUAUGAGUUCCUGGUCGAUGGAUUACGGUGUUUACUGGACAUUCCUCAUAAUUUGAAGAGACUUACCUUAAAGUCGUUGUUCAUACGGGAUAACAUUGAUCUGGUAGAUCUGUCGUCAAUUUUUUACAACAUUUUAAAGAAACAUUCGCCCGCGCUGGAAGAACUUUACACGACAUACGACGCAGGAGUUUCGAAAGUGGAUUGGAAAUUUCCAGUUCUUCCAAAAAUUAAAAUAUUGCAUAUAUUUGCAGAUAUGUUUAAGAAAGUUAAAUUCGAAAGUAGUCUCGGCUCAGGGUGUUUCGAAGGGAUUGAUUACCAGAAGUGUUUUCCUGUCUUGGAAAACUUGCAUAUUGACACGAGAACAUAUGAUUUUUCUGGUAUAACUGCAUUUCUUCCGUUGGAUGCUGACCAAUAUCAGGUAUUGGAAUCGCUGAAAGAAGUUGAAGUAAAUUUUUUGCCAUAUGAUUAUUCUAACAAUGGUUUGACAGAGUAUCCGAAAUCAGUUCAGGUUCGCAUAUACAGGCAAUUGUUCGCUAUCUUUCCAAACGCGAGAGAUUCGAUUAAUAAGCAGUUAAUGACAAUUAAUAUGUCAUAAUUUGUUUUGUGUGUCGUUAUGAAAGUUGCACAUGUUUAUCUAGCGAAGGUUACAAGUCUAGUUAAUUUAAUGUACUUGACAACUUGUUAUGUAAGUAUGCAUGUAUGUAUAAAUUAUUGCUAAGCAGCAUUGAUUGAUGUGUUGAAUUCAGGUGUACUACAUAUAUUACAU